GGCGUCCCGAGGAGCCCAGGACGCGUCAGCAGGUGGCGGAGGUGCCAGGCCGUGGGCACGAGUGUGAAGGGCAACGGGGACAGGGCGGGGAGGCGCCGCCAGCUCCGACCCCCGCCCCGGCUGCCGGUUCCCUGGGGGUGAGAGAGGACUUUGUGCCCAGCGAGGCGCGCGGGCCCUGCCAGCGCACUGGGAGGUCGCGGCCCCGCAGCCAGUGGCGAGGCUGAGGGGACAGCGCGCAGAGCCGCUCCGGGUGCGCAGCGCCCGGCGCCCCUUGCCGCGGGAACGAAACUUGUGCAAUGUCCGCCCAGCGCCGCGGCGGCGGGCUCCCGGGGUGACCUCGUAAGUGAGCGGGCGCGGCUUCCACCCAGGUCACCGCGCCGCGCAGGGGCUGCAGACCCUGGCCUUGGGGCCAUUUCGCAAGCUUCUUGGAAAGUCACUCCUGUCGGUUAGCUGGGACUGCUGUGAACUCUGCCCCACCCCCUGGACACCCACGCUCGAUCGGGCCUGCCCAACUCUACCUGCGCACGCCGGCCAGCAAAUGCCAGUCUGUGCGCCUUCCAGAGCCGGGCUGAACACAGACCCUGGUAGCUCCCCGGUGGACCCAAGCUGUGUUGGUUACCCAGCAGCAGUGCCACCAAGUGGUGGGAGAGACCUGGCAAGAAUUAUGGAUGCCUGCAAAGGACAUACGGGCUUCAAUCUCCCAGGGCCCUUGAAGGGGUGUUCGUGGAGGGCAGGCACUUGAGGCAGCAGUCAAAUCGCCGCUCAGGACGCCCGCCUCCCCGUCAGAGCGCCUGGGCUCCAGGGCCCACUCAGGACACCCGCCUCCCUGUCAGAGCGCCUGGACCCGAGUGCCCACUCAGGACGCCCACCUCCCCGUCAGAGCGCCUGGACCCGAGUGCCCACUCAGGACGCCCGCCUCCCCGUCAGAGCGCCUGGGCUCCAGGGCCCGCUCAGGACACCCGCCUCCCCGUCAGAUUGAGUCCGCUCAGGACACCCGCUUCCAGACAGAGCACCUGGACCCGCCGUGUUCAUUCAAGAUGCCCGCCUCCCAGUCAGAUCGCCUGGUCUCCA
rnacentral:lncRNA from 1 species